GAUGAACGCUGGCGGCGUGCCUAAUACAUGCAAGUCGAGCGAACGGACGAGAAGCUUGCUUCUCUGAUGUUAGCGGCGGACGGGUGAGUAACACGUGGAUAACCUACCUAUAAGACUGGGAUAACUUCGGGAAACCGGAGCUAAUACCGGAUAAUAUUUUGAACCGCAUGGUUCAAAAGUGAAAGACGGUCUUGCUGUCACUUAUAGAUGGAUCCGCGCUGCAUUAGCUAGUUGGUAAGGUAACGGCUUACCAAGGCAACGAUGCAUAGCCGACCUGAGAGGGUGAUCGGCCACACUGGAACUGAGGCACGGUCCAGACUCCUACGGGAGGCAGCAGUAGGGAAUCUUCCGCAAUGGGCGAAAGCCUGACGGAGCAACGCCGCGUGAGUGAUGAAGGUCUUCGGAUCGUAAAACUCUGUUAUUAGGGAAGAACAUAUGUGUAAGUAACUGUGCACAUCUUGACGGUACCUAAUCAGAAAGCCACGGCUAACUACGUGCCAGCAGCCGCGGUAAUACGUAGGUGGCAAGCGUUAUCCGGAAUUAUUGGGCGUAAAGCGCGCGUAGGCGGUUUUUUAAGUCUGAUGUGAAAGCCCACGGCUCAACCGUGGAGGGUCAUUGGAAACUGGAAAACUUGAGUGCAGAAGAGGAAAGUGGAAUUCCAUGUGUAGCGGUGAAAUGCGCAGAGAUAUGGAGGAACACCAGUGGCGAAGGCGACUUUCUGGUCUGUAACUGACGCUGAUGUGCGAAAGCGUGGGGAUCAAACAGGAUUAGAUACCCUGGUAGUCCACGCCGUAAACGAUGAGUGCUAAGUGUUAGGGGGUUUCCGCCCCUUAGUGCUGCAGCUAACGCAUUAAGCACUCCGCCUGGGGAGUACGACCGCAAGGUUGAAACUCAAAGGAAUUGACGGGGACCCGCACAAGCGGUGGAGCAUGUGGUUUAAUUCGAAGCAACGCGAAGAACCUUACCAAAUCUUGACAUCCUUUGACAACUCUAGAGAUAGAGCCUUCCCCUUCGGGGGACAAAGUGACAGGUGGUGCAUGGUUGUCGUCAGCUCGUGUCGUGAGAUGUUGGGUUAAGUCCCGCAACGAGCGCAACCCUUAAGCUUAGUUGCCAUCAUUAAGUUGGGCACUCUAAGUUGACUGCCGGUGACAAACCGGAGGAAGGUGGGGAUGACGUCAAAUCAUCAUGCCCCUUAUGAUUUGGGCUACACACGUGCUACAAUGGACAAUACAAAGGGCAGCGAAACCGCGAGGUCAGGCAAAUCCCAUAAAGUUGUUCUCAGUUCGGAUUGUAGUCUGCAACUCGACUACAUGAAGCUGGAAUCGCUAGUAAUCGUAGAUCAGCAUGCUACGGUGAAUACGUUCCCGGGUCU
rnacentral:rRNA from 1 species